UACGUAUGGAGCAAGCGUUAUCCGGAUUUACUGGGUGUAAAGGGAGUGUAGGUGGCCAGGCAAGUCAGAAGUGAAAGCCUGGGGCUCAACCCCGGGACUGCUUUUGAAACUGCAGGGCUAGAGUGCAGGAGGGGCAAGUGGAAUUCCUAGUGUAGCGGUGAAAUGCGUAGAUAUUAGGAGGAACACCAGUGGCGAAGGCGGCUUGCUGGACUGUAACUGACACUGAGGCUCGAAAGCGUGGGGAGCAAACAGG
rnacentral:rRNA from 1 species